GGCCAGUCAUCGGUGCCCUUCCCCUCCUAGGGACCAUGCCCCAUGUCACAUUAGCCAAAAUGGCAAAAAAAUAUGGUCCCGUCAUGUACCUGAAAAUGGGUACCUGUAAUAUGGUGGUAGCGUCCACUCCUGAUGCAGCUCGAGCGUUCCUCAAAACCCUAGACCUCAAUUUCUCAAACCGUCCUCCAAAUGCAGGGGCUAC
rnacentral:misc_RNA from 1 species